GAUGAACGCUAACUACAGGCUUAACACAUGCAAGUCGAGGGGCAGCAUGAACUUAGCUUGCUAAGUUUGAUGGCGACCGGCGCACGGGUGAGUAACACGUAUCCAACCUGCCGAUGACUCGGGGAUAGCCUUUCGAAAGAAAGAUUAAUACCCGAUGGCAUAGUUCUUCCGCAUGGUAGAACUAUUAAAGAAUUUCGGUCAUCGAUGGGGAUGCGUUCCAUUAGGUUGUUGGCGGGGUAACGGCCCACCAAGCCUUCGAUGGAUAGGGGUUCUGAGAGGAAGGUCCCCCACAUUGGAACUGAGACACGGUCCAAACUCCUACGGGAGGCAGCAGUGAGGAAUAUUGGUCAAUGGACGAGAGUCUGAACCAGCCAAGUAGCGUGAAGGAUGACUGCCCUAUGGGUUGUAAACUUCUUUUAUACGGGAAUAAAGUGAGGCACGUGUGCCUUUUUGUAUGUACCGUAUGAAUAAGGAUCGGCUAACUCCGUG
rnacentral:rRNA from 1 species